CUACGGCCGUAUAACCACGAUUGACUUCCGUAAAAGUGGUGAGAAGAGAGUGUGAUGCGGAUAAGAAGGAAAGGGACUGUCGAAAGAGACUCUGAGAGCGAAGAGGCUCUUUUGCUUUAACCACAACACUCUAAUAGCUCAAGUGAAACUCGCCUGCAGUCGAUUUGUUCUCUUGAUUUGACGAUGAAGGUCUCUAAUCUGACGAUCCGUACUAUACCAUUUAAAAGAAACUUGAAAAACAAACAUAUUCAUAAGAAGCUUGGUUGAGACGGAGGAAGAACAGAGGGACGAGAAGAUCGAGGAGGACGAAGAUGGAACUGGGUAAUCGAUUUUCAAGUCCAGUUUGUUCUAAUCGAUUAAAGUUUUAGAUUGUUUGUUUUUGUGGUUUAAUUCGGAAUUUCUUUCAGGUCUUAAAGAUACUCUAGAAUGGUUGUCUCCAUUGUCCGCAGAAAAAAAAAAAAAUAAGAGUCCGAAUUGGACCUAGGCUUUUCAGCGACAAAUGGCUCAUUUUGAGUUACGAUCGAGCAAAUGUCAGAGGUACCGGGCAAAAUGUCAAAGGAAGGCUUAAUUUUGUGCUCCUCUUAUGAAGGUGUUUCUUGACGAUGGGAAGAAAGAGAGGCUCAUCAAUCAGGAUUAGAAGCUUCCCAACCGGCUCUAACUCAAUAUCGGGUGCUUGGUCCUUUGAUAAAUGGAUGCUCAUGGAUUGAAUUACAACCACUCACUAGCCGAAAGCAUCAGUUGGCUAAUAUUUGGUUGGAGCACAAGGAUUCCCUAGCUGGAGCACUACUUUUGGCCUUAAGGCAACAUUGUUCUGGAGAAAUUUGAGAGGAGGUGGCAUGAAGUAACAAACCAAGUAGGGGAACAUAUCUACCAAUUCUGUGAUGCUGCAGUUCGACUAUGCCAUUUUAAAAACAGUUGGUCUACGUUGAUGCAGUUGCAUAAUUUACUAUUCCUGAGCUGAACAUCGCUGACCAACCAAAAUGGUGGAAAAGAAGUGUUCCGAAGUGCUUUAGAUCAAGCUGGAGAUAGAGUAGGUGUUGUUCAAUUCUAUGGAAAGCACUGUCUCUGGAUUUUGAGCAAUGGAAGAACUGUAUGCGGUAGUGAUUCUGUUUGGAAGGCCUUAAUUUUUUAUGCCAAAAGUUGUGAAUGCUUCUUUAAUGCUGAUCAACACAAUGAUUUGGCAAAGCCAUAGUAGACGUAAAGAAAAUGUUGGACCAAUUUCAUGAGUUGCCCAAUGCCAACAGCAUAAUUUUCAAAAACGCUAGAUGCAAGGUGCUUUUUAGUAUUAACUUUUUGAAGUUAUUCAAGAAUCUGAUGUCGGCCUGUUCUUCUACUGAAGCAGUCAUGUGGCUAAAGACCCAAGAAGCGCAGUGUACAGAGAAGUUGUAGUAGCUCUUGACUAAUCUUGAAGAAACUUAAGGUUAAAUCUCAUUGUUUGCACAACAGACUAUUGGAAAGAAAAUGAGAUAAUGUUAAAGGUCUGAGAUGUAUUGCUAUUGCAAAGAAUAUGAGAUAAUGUUAAAGGUCUGAGAUGUAUUGCCUCUAGAGGAUAUCCCAAAGUUGGAAUAUCUCUUAGAUACACACAUAAAAUCAUUUUUAUUGAUCUCGCA